rnacentral:rRNA from 1 species
AUGAACGCUGGCGGCGUGCCUAAUACCUGCAAGUCGAGCGAACAGACGAGGAGCUUGCUCCUCUGACGUUAGCGGCGGACGGGUGAGUAACACGUGGAUAACCUACCUAUAAGACUGGGAUAACUUCGGGAAACCGGAGCUAAUACCGGAUAAUAUAUUGAACCGCAUGGUUCAAUAGUGAAAGACGGUUUUGCUGUCACUUAUAGAUGGAUCCGCGCCGCAUUAGCUAGUUGGUAAGGUAACGGCUUACCAAGGCAACGAUGCGUAGCCGACCUGAGAGGGUGAUCGGCCACACUGGAACUGAGACACGGUCCAGACUCCUACGGGAGGCAGCAGUAGGGAAUCUUCCACAAUGGGCGAAAGCCUGACGGAGCAACGCCGCGUGAGUGAUGAAGGUCUUCGGAUCGUAAAACUCUGUUAUUAGGGAAGAACAAAUGUGUAAGUAACUAUGCACGUCUUGACAGUACCUAAUCAGAAAGCCACGGCUAACUACGUG